CAGUUACACAUCUGUGUGAGGCUGGACUUUCCGUAUUACUUCAACCAAAACAACACAUCACAGAAGACUGAAUGCAAAAGCAGCUCCCUCCUUCUGUUGGAUCAUUUGCUUUGGGAGAAGAUAACUGCCAUGUCAUGUAAGCAACCCUACAGAGAGACCCAUCUGGCAGGGAACUGAGGCCUCCUGCCAACAGCCAUGUGAGUGAUCUUGGAAGCACAUUCUCCACCUUCAUCCGACAAUUGAGCACCAGCUGACUACAUGACUGCAGCCAGGUACUAUGCAAGUCAUGAGUGAUGCAAAAAUAAAAAAAGACACCAUGUUUUCCCCUGAGAAGCUCAAAGCUUCACAGAAUAAAUGACAUUCUUACUCUCCAUUUAAUGACACUCUGCUGAGCACUUCAGGGAAUGGAAAAGAUGUAAUCCCUGAUCUCAAAUGACUUAUGAUGAAAUAUGGACACACUUCUCCACACAAGACAAAAUUUGAUGUUACAUGCAAGUGGUAUAAAAGAAAGCAGGCAUAAAAAAAGAAGUAUCUCAGUAAAACGAUAGUAAAGGAAUGAAAAUGAUGUCUAAAUAUUCAAUGAUAAGAAGAUAAAAAGAGAGCCAUGAGAAGAAAGAUUUUAUCAAAUUUCUGGAAGAUGGAUAAGAUAUGAAGAAUUGAAAACUGGUGAAACAGAAUAAGGAAGCCACAGCCCAGAAAUCAACCUACUGAUAAAGCUCAGAGGACUAAUUACCAUUCUAGAACCAAAUGCAGUCUUCUCAUCCUAGAACUUGGGAUCCAGUGGUGAAAUCAGCCUGGUCUAAUGGAGAAAGCAUUCUAGCCAAAUCAAAUGGAGGAGACAGGAUGAGGACACGGAUGCUGAGAGAGCUUCACAAUACUACACAGGAAUGGUGACUGGAACCCAGAUCUUUGUGAUUCAAAUGUCUCCAUGCUUGAGUACCCAGCUGCCUGGCCUCUCUCGCUGUCUCUGUUGCCUUGCAGGUAUGGGUAAUGUAUCUAGAAGGCAGGACAGGGAAGGUGGCUGGUUCUCCCGGAGGAGGGUUUGGAAAAUGUUCACCGGGAAAGUGCGUUUCACUUGUCACCUUGAAGGUUUCUAGCGCGGGUGAGCUGGGUGAUUCAGCAUGCCGUUAACUGAGACGCUGGACACUCUACCACAUCAUUUUGCUGCUAGUCUGGUUUUGUCCUGGUGACCCCAACCGGGUAACUGCAAACUCAUCCAUCUUGAUGGGCACCUCAGUGUCUGGAUUGAGAGGAGAACUUGGCCUCCCUUCCAGCCCCUCUUCCUCGAUCAGUGACUGAGGCUGUCUCCCUGACAGUGGGGCCUUCCUCCCUGUCUGGAUGCCCUCUGGAUCUCCAUUUCUCUUGUGACUUCAUGCCGGGCAGUGCUGACUUUGGGCUGAGCUACAACUUCUGUUAUUGACAAACGCACCUGGAAAAUUGACCCAGUCGGCUAGGUUUUCUCUCUUAGCCUGUAACCAACCUUCACUCUGCAAUCCCAUCAGUGUGGAUUCCAGUGCAGUGGCUCCAUUAAGUCCCAGCUAAUGGCCUUUUCAUUCCCCUUUUGUCAUGCAGCUCACCCCACUUCAGGCCAUAGGAAAAGGGCUGCAGCAUUGCUUUCGGAGCUGGGCAAGAAGGAUCCCUGUGCUUUGGAGGCCCCAUCCUGGUUCCUCUCUGCCUAUGUCCCCCUCCCCACACCACCCACACACAUUAUGAAAAAUUGUCAUGCCAAGGAACAUACAUAUCCAGAGGCAGUGCCCUCCUAGACCACAAUCUGCUCAUCAGAAUCCUGAAAUUCCCUGUUCAAAUGGCCCCAUGCCCACUUUCAGGACCUGUUCGGGGGUCUUCCCGUGUCUGUCUUCCAGAGGGUGGGUUAUGCUGGUAUGUGCCUUCCUAGGCCUCAGGGCUGUUUGUGGCAGAGUGUGGACAGGCUUGGACAUGCAGUCUAGGGUAUACACAGGCUUGUACAAGAGGAUGUGGUGUAGAACAGAGCUGAGAGUGGGCCAAGGGCUCAGAGGUGGCGUUCCCCAUACAUGGAAUGGGUUUGAGAACUCUGCAAGUGAACUUGGCCUUCUAGGUUGUUGUGAAGGUAUAUUUAUCAAGGAAGCAGGCUAGAACAUAUGUUAUUUAGGUUUUCAUUUUGUUAACUAUUUAACAUAUGGUAUAUGGGCCUUGUGUUUUUACUCUUGCCGUUAGCCCUUGCAAAUGUUAGAGGUGAGCAGACCAUCGUACUCUUAUCUUUUAUGAAGGAACCAAAUCUGGACAAUUUUUUUCUUUCUCCUAGGGAAAGGUGCAUCUUGGUGUAUUUCUUGCCAACAUGAAGAUGUUAGUUCUGGGCACAGUCACAAGAUGCCAGAUGGUACCCAGGUACCAACUGCUAACUAUUGAUGAAUUAUACCAUUUAGAGACUAGAAAAUCCUGACUGCUUUCUAUGUGGCCCUAUGGUAGCUCAUGGGAUGUGGGAAAGAUUUACUGCCUUGUUUAAACAGAAAGGACCACAUGUCAAGUAAGCAGGGAAAUUCAUCUCUCAAAGAGGACCCUUCCUAUGUUUUAUCACAAAUCCCUAUUAUCAUAAACCAGCCAUUAUGGUAAGCCAAGCACUUUCAUACGUAACUCACAUGAAUUACAUUUUAUGGAAUAUUAUUGGGAACCAAUCACUCUUCUUUCCUCAUUCAACCUCUUGGAAAUAACCCACAUAGAAGUCAUACACUCUUAUCACAUUGCUUUUGCUAAGAGAUAUUGUAUUAGAUAUACACUGCUGUGUAAGAAAUUGCCCCCAAAACUUAACAGCUUAAAAUAGCAGCACUUAGGAAUCGGGGUGUGGCUUAGGUGGGUCCUCUGGCUGAGGGUCUCUCAAUCAGCUACAAUCAAGUUGUGGCCAGGGCUGCUCCAUAAGGCUCAGCUGCAGGGGAGGGAGUCCUCUUCCAAGCCCACUCACCUGGUUGUUGGUGGGAUUCACUUCUUCAUGGGCUGUGGGACUGAGCCUGCCCUCAGUUUGUGCCACAUGAGUCUCUCCACAGGGCAGCCCACAGCAGGGCAACUUGCUUCAGCAGAGGAAGAAGAGAAAAGAGCUUGAGAAAAAAAGUGCGAGCAAAACAGAAGUCACAGUGUUUUGUAACCUAAUCUUGGAAGUGACCGUGGGAUACAACAUUCUAAGAUGUUCCCCUGGUGUACACAUCCUGUAUGACCCAGGAGUGUGAAUAUGAUGGGCUGGCACUCCCAUGAUUCUAUUACAUCAUAUGGCCAAAAGGAUUUUGCAAAUGUAAUUAAAGUCUUAGAUCAGUUGACCUAAAGAUAGGGAGAUUAUCUGGGUGGAACUGACCUAAUCACAUGAGGCCUUUAGAAGGGUAGCUACCACAUGUGUAUUUAAUGAGUCUGGGUCUCAAAGUCAGAGAUGAGGGAAGUCAGAGAUUCAAAGCACAGGAAGGGUUAGACAUGCUCUUGCUGACUUGAAGAUGAAAGGGGCCAUGUGGCAAGGAAUGCAGGUGGCCCCAGUAGCUGAGAGCAGCCCACAGAUGACAGCCAGGAAGGGAAAAGGAACCUUAGUGCUUCAACUGCAAGAACUGAACUCUGCAAACAGCAAGAAUGGGCUUGGAAGUAGAUUUUCCUCCAGAAUCUGUAGAAAAGGACUCAGCCUGGCCCACACCUUGAUUUCACAUUCGUGACACUUAGAGCAGAGAACCCAGGUAACCUAUACCCAGAUUCCUGGCCCACAGAAAGAGUGAGAUAAUAAAUGCGUAUUGUUUUCAGCUUCUCUGCGUGUGGUGAUCUGUUGUACAGUGUUAUAGACUGAAUUGUGUCUCCUACCCUCAAAUUCACAUGUUAAAGCCCUACCUCCCAGUGUGAUUGUGUUUGGAGAUAAGAACAAUGAGGUAAUUAAGGUUAAAUGAAGUCAUAAGGUGACUGAUCCAAACAGAAAGCUCACUCACUCUUUCCAUACACACUCACCAAGGAAAGACCAUGUAAGGAUGCAGUAAGAAGGCGGCUGUCUACAAGCCAGAAAGAGAG